rfam:Loxodonta africana unplaced genomic scaffold scaffold_10, whole genome shotgun sequence.
GCCCUGGUGGCACAACGGUUAAGCAUUUGGCUGCUAACUGAAAGGUUGAUGGUUCAAACCCACCCAGUGGCU